UUCUUCAGGGAUCCUCCACCGAGGACCUGACACUCUCUCUCUCCCGAACCGUCUCUCAUCUUCCUCCCGAGCGGGCGCUCUCCUACGCUGCAUCGCUCCGGCCGCCGCUCCGAACAGAUCCGGCUGCAAACAUCCGCCUCGCAUCUUCUCUCUCGAACUGCUUUUCCCUCCUUACCCGGCCAUAUCUAGGAGGUACCCCCGAGCUUCCUCCCAGCCAACCCCCUCCGGCAGCGUGGCUGGGUGGUUUCUGUUCGUUGUAGGGCUUGUGCUGAGGAUGGACAACCCACUUCCCCGACCUUGAUCUCAAGUGACGGAGAAACACCACUUUCCAUCUACCUGCCGGGUGCCGGCGUCCCUCGGCUUCCGUGCUUCUGACCUCCAUCCAGGACUGCCGAUCCUUGCCCUGCAGGUACAGUUUGCCAAUUAUGUUGCGUAAAAAUUAGAUGGCUUAAUUUUCUUUGAUCGGCAUAGUUGUAAACUAAUGACUUAUUGUACUGUGAUACUUUUGUUGUUUCUGUGAGUCCACGGCAACCAUUACUGAUGGCAAGUCCAUUGCAAUGGACAGAAGGCUACAGAUUUCUGAAGAAGUUCGUCAUGUGAAAAAUGCAGUUGACAUGUUCCAGGCCUGACUGUCCAAUUGGUAGCCGAUAGAAGGGACUCUCAGUGCUAUAUGAUAUUCAAAGUAAAUGGGUGUGACGAAGUUGGGAUAAAAUCUUUGUUGGCCGAGUUGCCUGGGAAUUGACAGAAGAUGAGGUGGUGGAUUUGGUGUGUAGAAUCAAUGAAGAUACGUCAGUUCAUGGCAGCCUUGUCCAGUCCAGCAUAUGGACGAUGAAAAUAUUCUGAACACCAUUAGCCUAGACAAGGAUGUUGAUUGUUUCCACCCCUUGAACAUUGGCAAUCUCGCCCUCAAGCCAGAAACCUUUGUUUGUUUCCUGUGCUGCAAAAGCUUGCCUCGAGUUAUUGCUCCAAUCUGGGAUUGCUCUCAUGGGAAAACCUAACAGAUGGCAAUGCUUAGCACAGGUCCAUGUGUUUCGUUAAUACCUAUGAAAGUGAACACUGAUUUUUGGAGCAUGUAUAUGAGCCGCUGGUCUACAAGGUACGCAUAAUACAUGUAAAGAAAUGAACUUGCAAAUGUAGGGAUGGCACUCCAGUGACAUGUGUAUUGUCCUUUACAGCAAAGCACUCUUGGUAUGUGCUUCAGUUGUUGUGUCAGUAUAUGAUUAUAGAUUUUAUCACAUACUGUAGAUUAUCUAGCCUAUGUGGGAUUUUAUAUUGCAACCAUGGCAAUUCAGGUUGGUAGUGACAAAUAUAGUGUUCAAUUUUGAUUAGUUAGGAUACAUUAUCCUAGGAAAUUAUACAUAGUGAAUCUGGAUUUCAGAUUGGAACUGAAGCUAAAAUUCUUCUGCUGGUUUGUAACCCCUUUCCGUCCACACCUUUGACAGUUCUAUUCUUUUGAUCUUUGGAGAAAUCUCUCUGCACCUUUGACAGUUCACUACAGAAUUCUUGAGUGCCCAGGACCCAUAAUUAUCGAUGCACAUAGCAUCUUCCCUUGGCUAUUUGCGAUAAUACUGACACCUGGUAUCACGCAAGAUGCAAAUGAAAAUUCUAGAUUGUCUUAUGUAACAUAGAAAAUGAGCCCUCCUUCUAAUGCAAGCUUGGUUCCACAGAUUGCUAACAUGGACACCUUUCUGUUAGGUACAGAUAGUUUUGUUAAGCUUCAUGCACUAGCCACUUGAACCAAAAGUCCGAACUGAUGGAAAGGGCUAGGCAAUCGACAUAUACACUUCACAACACCCCCACUCGCGUGUGACGGGAGAAGAGAAAGUCAACACGUGAAAGAAGAAGAGCACACCGAAACAGCGGUGGCUAGAGAGGGGGGCAACAGCAAUUUUUAGGCUUAAUUGCGAAAACCAUGUGAAAGCCAGGAUUUGAACUUGAGACCUGGGGCUCUGAUACCAUGUUAAGCUUCAUGCACUAGCCACUUGAACCAAAAGUCCGAACUGAUGGAAAGGGCUAGGCAAUCGACAUAUACACUUCACAACAAGUUUUACUGAUAUUAUGGUCAUAUCACAUCCUUGGGUAUGUGUGCCUUACCUUGAAAUUAUUUUUUAGGCAAAUCAACCAACCAUCUUACAACCAUAGUUAGCCACAAGCAACAUGGCUGAUAAUAACAUAUUAAGUUCGCUACUCUUCAUUUGCCAGAUAAGAAUCAAUGCUAAUAAUUUAGCGUGCCAUUUAAGUUCGCGAUAUAGUCAUUGGAGGAUUCAGUAAAACAUGAUUUCUUAGUCUCUGUAUGUUCAAUCAUUUUGGUUUGUCCUGUAGGAAAUAAUUGAUUAAUAUGUAUCCAUCAAGAUUUUUUCUGUUUUCUCCUUACAUGGAGCACUAUAGUUUUCUUCUAAAAGAUAGCCAUGUGGAGCUGAAAACCCUUAGUUGCAAAUCGAGUUUGAUGUUCAUAUUAAUUAUGUAGUUUUACAAGUAUUUGUGAUGUCUUAAUCUGGAAAAUACAUGUGUGAUGUUUCAAGUUGAUGUACAACUGUAAAAGUAAAGCAUGGAAUCCAUUCCCUUAGUUUUUUCCCUUCUUGGGCGUUCAUGUAUCUAGGGAAAUCUUGCCUGGUAUAUAUGAAAGUCACAUUUUAUAUAUCUUGACUAUUCUAACUCAAGGCUUGUGCUUAUUAGGGAAACCUGCUAUUUUUCACAAGCCACAAAAUGUUCUAUGCUGAAAGGAAUCUUAUGGAAACGUGUGAUAGUAAUUUUCUACUUUGCGGUUAGGCUAGGAGAUGAAUUCCUCCAAUGGUCAGUUCUUUAUGAACAAGAUGAAGGUAUACAUUGAUCUUUUACGCAGGUCGCAGUAUACAUUGUUGGUAGGAAUUUGUAUAUGAGUCUUUUGCUCAUGUUUAUGCAACAACCGAAGUUUCCCCAUAUCACUAUAUCAUUGGCCCAUUCAGCAAGCCUUCUAGAUAGAUCAUUUUGAUGUACACUAACUUGCAAAUUAGUAUGACCUGAAUAAAAUAUCUUAAGUAGUUCCUAAGCGGAGAAUUAUCAACCUCUUUAGGAUUACAUAAAUCUUUUGGACCCACAUGCUGAAGCAAGCUGGGCUUUAUUUUCGAUUUUAGUAAAUUUUAUUGCUAAAGGUAACUAAACAUUAUCUGGAAACUCAUUAUGUGUAUAUAACGGGCAUGCUGGCUAAUGCAUGAUUAUGUGUCAUCAUGGGAAUGUAAGGAUGACUUAUCUGCUUGAAAGACUGGAAAAUAUAGUUAGCGGGACUAAUUUAUGAUAAUGUAGGACUAGAAGUUCCAUUUUAUUUUCCGCAUUGCCAAUUGAGUUCACAUAACUUGAGUUCUUUUGACGCCGUGGUGUUAAUGUUAUCUCGAAGGUGUAAGGGUGUUACCUUUUGCGUGCUAUGGGUUAAGUUUGUUGCCUGAGAAAAGUUCUAAUAAGACUCGCAUGAUGAUUAUUCUGCUUGCAAGUUGCAGUACACACAGGAAAGAUGCAUGAAAGUUGGUUCAGCAUUGACUUUAGCUCAGUGAUAGUAAAUGUCAUAUUAUUUAGCAUCUUCAGAAGUUAGCAGUAUACAUUUUCUUAUGUAUCCACAAUGCUAUAUACUGGUAGAUCAAAGGAUUAUGCUUUUGUGAGAUCUGGAGAUGAUAUUGAGCAGACACAUGCCAUGAAUGAGAUGAAUGCGGUGUAUUGCUCUUCUUGGCCCAUGAGAAUUGGCCCUGCAACUCCCAUAAAAUUUUGAGGGUCAGGUUUAGUAAAUAAGAUACCUAGCCACUAUAUAUUCAAUAAUAAAUAUAAUUAUACAUCCAUUUGUAUACAUGUUCUUUGAUUUGCGUCUAUUCCUUCUGGCUACUUCACGUUUUCUAUUGAGGUAGUAUGCAAAUUAAAUUCACCUAAGAUUAUCUAUAUGUCAAUAACAUGAACAUAUGAUUCUGGGGUGAGAUUCAGCUCAUUUUAAACCAUUCAUAGGUUUUCCAAGUGAAACUUCUUUUAGAUAGUUCUCUUCCACUUAACUCUGUUUGUCACUUUAUGGUGGGCUCCUAGGUGAAUUCAUGCAAGUUGCUGUCCUGAUGCAUAGCAUGCUUCAUAUGGAGCAGAUUCUCAGGUGCUAGGUGUUGAUCAAAGGAACAUGAGCUGGAUAUGAUUUUUUUUUUUUUUUUUUUUUUUUUUUUGCGUCUAGAGUUGUUGUGUUAGCUGUGCAACCUUCUACAUGGAUCUCUUGGGCAAGUUUGCCGUCAUCCAAUGACACUAGAAGCCAUGCGGCAUAACUCGCAACAGAUAGAAGUGGGGAUAUCAAUGAAGGCCAGGUUGAAGUUUCACCUUGGUGAUGAGGUGUAUUUCUAGUUGAGGUGAUACAAUCUGGCUAAUGAGGUCUUUACUCCUUGAUGACAUUGAGGGCCUCUGUCAACCGCCUUCUUACAUAUGAUACAGAAGUUGGUAGUUGUUCACAUCGCAAUUUGGAGCCGUAGUCAACUAUAGCUAUUUUUGUAAAUUCAUUUCAAGAAUUGGUGUUUACCGUGGUCGUGAUUGUUAUGUAAUUAUUGAUAAUCUGGUA